rnacentral:rRNA from 1 species
UACGAAGGGGGCUAGCGUUGCUCGGAAUCACUGGGCGUAAAGCGCACGUAGGCGGAUUGUUAAGUCAGGGGUGAAAUCCUGGAGCUCAACUCCAGAACUGCCUUUGAUACUGGCGAUCUCGAGUCCGGGAGAGGUGGAGUGGAACUGCGAGUGUAGAGGUGAAAAUUCGUAGAUAUUCGCAAGAACACCAGUGGCGAAGGCGGCUCACUGGCCCGGUACUGACGCUGAGGUGCGAAAGCGUGGGGAGCAAACAGGG